AUGAACGCUAGCUACAGGCUUAACACAUGCAAGUCGAGGGGCAGCAUGGUCUUAGCUUGCUAAGGCCGAUGGCGACCGGCGCACGGGUGAGUAACACGUAUCCAACCUGCCGUCUACUCUUGGACAGCCUUCUGAAAGGAAGAUUAAUACAAGAUGGCAUCAUGAGUCCGCAUGUUCACAUGAUUAAAGGUAUUCCGGUAGACGAUGGGGAUGCGUUCCAUUAGAUAGUAGGCGGGGUAACGGCCCACCUAGUCUUCGAUGGAUAGGGGUUCUGAGAGGAAGGUCCCCCACAUUGGAACUGAGACACGGUCCAAACUCCUACGGGAGGCAGCAGUGAGGAAUAUUGGUCAAUGGGCGAGAGCCUGAACCAGCCAAGUAGCGUGAAGGAUGACUGCCCUAUGGGUUGUAAACUUCUUUUAUAAAGGAAUAAAGUCGGGUAUGGAUACCCGUUUGCAUGUACUUUAUGAAUAAGGAUCGGCUAACUCCGUGCCAGCAGCCGCGGUAAUACGGAGGAUCCGAGCGUUAUCCGGAUUUAUUGGGUUUAAAGGGAGCGUAGAUGGAUGUUUAAGUCAGUUGUGAAAGUUUGCGGCUCAACCGUAAAAUUGCAGUUGAUACUGGAUAUCUUGAGUGCAGUUGAGGCAGGCGGAAUUCGUGGUGUAGCGGUGAAAUGCUUAGAUAUCACGAAGAACUCCGAUUGCGAAGGCAGCCUGCUAAGCUGCAACUGACAUUGAGGCUCGAAAGUGUGGGUAUCAAACAGGAUUAGAUACCCUGGUAGUCCACGCCGUAAACGAUGAAUACUAGGUGUCAGGGAGCACAGCUCUUUGGUGCCGCCGCAAACGCAUUAAGUAUUCCACCUGGGGAGUACGCCGGCAACGGUGAAACUCAAAGGAAUUGACGGGGGCCCGCACAAGCGGAGGAACAUGUGGUUUAAUUCGAUGAUACGCGAGGAACCUUACCCGGGCUUAAAUUGCAGAUGAAUUACGGUGAAAGCCGUAAGCCGCAAGGCAUCUGUGAAGGUGCUGCAUGGUUGUCGUCAGCUCGUGCCGUGAGGUGUCGGCUUAAGUGCCAUAACGAGCGCAACCCUUGUUGUCAGUUACUAACAGGUUCCGCUGAGGACUCUGACAAGACUGCCAUCGUAAGAUGUGAGGAAGGUGGGGAUGACGUCAAAUCAGCACGGCCCUUACGUCCGGGGCUACACACGUGUUACAAUGGGGGGUACAGAGGGCCGCUACCACGCGAGUGGAUGCCAAUCCCCAAAACCUCUCUCAGUUCGGACUGGAGUCUGCAACCCGACUCCACGAAGCUGGAUUCGCUAGUAAUCGCGCAUCAGCCACGGCGCGGUGAAUACGUUCCCGGGCCUUGUACACACCGCCCGUCAAGCCAUGGGAGCCGGGGGUACCUGAAGUGCGUAACCGCGAGGAGCGCCCUAGGGUAAAACUGGUGACUGGGGCU
rnacentral:rRNA from 1 species